rnacentral:siRNA from 1 species
GUUAUGUACGUACAUGUAUAAUAA